UACGGGGGGAGCAAGCGUUGUUCGGAUUUACUGGGCGUAAAGGGCGCGUAGGCGGCCACCGCAAGUCACUUGUGAAAUCUCCGGGCUUAACCCGGAAAGGUCAACUGAUACUGCGGGGCUAGAGUGCAGAAGGGGCAACUGGAAUUCUCGGUGUAGCGGUGAAAUGCGUAGAUAUCGAGAGGAACACCUGCGGCGAAGGCGGGUUGCUGGGCUGACACUGACGCUGAGGCGCGAAAGCGUGGGGAGCAAACAGG
rnacentral:rRNA from 1 species